UACGUAGGUCCCGAGCGUUGUCCGGAUUUAUUGGGCGUAAAGCGAGCGCAGGUGGUUUAAUAAGUCUGAUGUAAAAGGCAGUGGCUCAACCAUUGUGUGCAUUGGAAACUGUUAGACUUGAGUGCAGAAGGGGAGAGUGGAAUUCCAUGUGUAGCGGUGAAAUGCGUAGAUAUAUGGAGGAACACCGGUGGCGAAAGCGGCUCUCUGGACUGUAACUGACACUGAGGCUCGAAAGCGUGGGUAGCAAACAGG
rnacentral:rRNA from 1 species